rnacentral:rRNA from 1 species
CAGUCGCCGCGGUAACACGGAGGGUGCAAGCGUUAAUCGGAAUUACUGGGCGUAAAGCGUGCGUAGGCGGUUCGUUAAGUCUGUUGUGAAAGCCCCGGGCUCAACCUGGGAAUGGCAAUGGAUACUGGCGAGCUAGAGUGUGUCAGAGGAUGGUGGAAUUCCCGGUGUAGCGGUGAAAUGCGUAGAGAUCGGGAGGAACAUCAGUGGCGAAGGCGGCCAUCUGGGACAACACUGACGCUGAGGCACGAAAGCGUGGGGAGCAAACAGGAUUAGAUACCCCGGUAGUCCCUGUCUCUUAUAC